UUUGCGGCCGCGAUUCGCCCUUCGGGGUGCAGCAGGCGCGAAAACUCUACAAUGCAGGCAACUGCGAUGGGGGAACAUCGAGUGAUACUCAUCUUGGGUGUCUGUCCUCCCGUCUAAAAAACGGGAGUUAGCAAGGGCCGGGCAAGACCGGUGCCAGCCGCCGCGGUAAUACCGGCGGCUCGAGUGGUGGCCGAUAUUAUUGAGUCUAAAGGGUCCGUAGCCGGCUUUGCAAGUCUUUUGGGAAAUCCAGCGGCUUAACCGUUGGUCGUCCGGGAGAUACUACAUUGCUUGGGACUGGGAGAGGUAGGAGGUACUCAGGGGGUAGGAGUGAAAUCCUGUAAUCCUUUGGGGACCACCGGUGGCGAAGGCGUCCUACCAGAACAGGUCCGACGGUGGGGGACGAAAGCUAGGGGCACGAACCGGAUUAGAUACCCGGGUAGUCCUAGCCGUAAACGAUGCUCGCUAGGUGUCACAACAAUCGUGAAUUGUUGUGGUGCCGUAGGGAAGCCGUGAAGCGAGCCACUUGGGAAGUACGACCGCAAGGUUGAAACUUAAAGGAAUUGGCGGGGGAGCAC
rnacentral:rRNA from 1 species